rnacentral:rRNA from 1 species
UACGUAGGGUGCAAGCGUUAAUCGGAAUUACUGGCGUAAAGCGUGCGCAGGCGGUUUUGUAAGUUUGUCGUGAAAUCCCCGGGCUCAACCUGGGAAUGGCGAUGAAGACUGCAAGGCUAGAAUCUGGCAGAGGGGGGUAGAAUUCCACGUGAUAGCAGUGAAAUGCGUAGAGAUGUGGAGGAACACCGAUGGCGCAAGGCAGCCCCCUGGGUCGAAGAUUGACGC